rnacentral:rRNA from 1 species
AUAGCGUAUAUUUAAGUUGUUGCAGUUAAAAAGCUCGUAGUUGGAUUUCGGGUGGGCUCCACCGGUCCGCCUUUCAGGUGUGCACUGGCGGGGCCUACCUUGCUGCCGGGGACGGGCUCCUGGGCUUAACUGUCCGGGACUCGGAGUCGGCGAGGUUACUUUGAGUAAAUUAGAGUGUUCAAAGCAGGCCUACGCUCUGAAUACAUUAGCAUGGAAUAACACGAUAGGACUCUGGCCUAUCUUGUUGGUCUGUAGGACCGGAGUAAUGAUUAAGAGGGACAGUCGGGGGCAUUCGUAUUUCAUUGUCAGAGGUGAAAUUCUUGGAUUUAUGAAAGACGAACUACUG